AUUUUAUCAGUUUAAUUGUGUAUGGCACAUGUUUAACAUAAUUUUACAAAUUUAUGCUGUAACACUGACGGACACUGCGGCCUAAGGGUAUAUCUGAUAAGGAAGUUGAUACAGUCUUCACUUUAAUUUCACAACGCCCGUCUGUUUUGUUUUCUGACAGCCUGUAUUUCGCCAUUUUUUUCAUCGUAACUUUUAACUUUGUUUCGGAGUAUAUUCUACAACCGGAGAAAUAUAUUACAGACAGGGUUCAGGAGGAAAGAUGCAAUUCAAGAGACGAUGUGUCCAUCUAAUUGUCCUCCUGGUAGCCUAUGGUUCACUCAUUCUCGUCGCUCGAUGGACUUUCUUCACACAAAUGUGGACAGUAAUGGCAGAUGAGCCUAAUGUUGACGGCAAUCAUGCGCAUGCGCUGAAUCUAGACUUCACUGUACCCAAACGGACACAAAGGCAUGUGAAGGAAGCCGAUAUCGAGUUUCAGGAUUUAAAGCCCGG